AUGAACGCUGGCGGCGUGCCUAAUACAUGCCAGUCGAGCGCACGGACGAGAAGCUUGCUUCUCUGAUGUUAGCGGCGGACGGGUGAGUAACCCGUGGAUAACCUACCUAUAAGACUGGGAUAACUUCGGGAAACCGGAGCUAAUACCGGAUAAUAUUUUGAACCGCAUGGUUCAAAAGUGAAAGACGGUCUUGCUGUCACUUAUAGAUGGAUCCGCGCUGCAUUAGCUAGUUGGUAAGGUAACGGCUUACCAAGGCAACGAUGCAUAGCCGACCUGAGAGGGGGAUAGGCCACAGUGGAACAGAGACACAGACCAGACUCCUGCGGGAGGCAGCAGUAGGGAAUCUUGCGCAAUGGGCGAAAGUCUGACAGAGCAACGCUGCGUGAGGGAUGAAGGUGUUCGGAACGUAAAACUCUGUUAUUAGGGAAGAACAAAUGUGUAAGUAACUAUGCACGUCUUGACGGGACCUAAUCAGAAAGCCACGGCUAACUACGUG
rnacentral:rRNA from 1 species